rnacentral:piRNA from 1 species
UUGUCAGGUAAUUCGAAUGUGGG